rnacentral:rRNA from 2 species
GGACUACACGGGUAUCUAAUCCUGUUUGCUCCCCACGCUUUCGUGCAUGAGCGUCAGUGUUAGCCCAGGGGGCUGCCUUCGCCAUCGGUGUUCCUCCACAUCUCUACGCAUUUCACUGCUACACGUGGAAUUCCACCCCCCUCUGCCACACUCAAGCCUGCCAGUUAGAAACGCAGUUCCCAGGUUAAGCCCGGGGAUUUCACAUCUCUCUUAGCAGACCGCCUGCGCACGCUUUACGCCCAGUAAUUCCGAUUAACGCCUGCACCCUACGUAUUACCGCGGCUGCUGGCAC